CCGCAGCCCGCCAAGCUUCCCUGUCCUCUGCUGUCUCCCGGCGUUUGCUCAAACUCACGUCCAUCAUGUGAUACAUCGAUUAGGUAAAUUCUUUGCUCGGUUUCAGAACAGGAAGCGUGGAGAGUGUGCCUGAAGACUAAAUAGAGAAGUUCAGUAGGAACAAAUGAAACUCUGGGUACACGUUCCCACAAGGAGCACAGCCACACCCAGCAGACGGCUGUCCUCACAGCCCCCGACACCAGCAGGGUCUUCCCAGCGCUUCCUGUGGGUGGCAGACUGGAUCCUGGCGAAACGAAGCGGCUUCAGUCACCUGGUUAGACACAGGAGGAACUUUUAAAACAAAAUGGGCAGCAGAGCUCUGGACAGUGACCGGCGCCCCCUGCAGAGAAAACCAUCCCUGCUGUGGAAUCAAUAAUCUCUACAGACCAGACUCUUGCUCGUUGAUUAGAUGGGGAAGUAUCCGCCUGCAGUGCAGGAGACACAGCUUUUGUUUUUCAGAUCAGAAAGUGGGCAAGGAGGAGUUAAACCACCAGCCCUUGUCAGGAGCAGAGGCGCCAGACAACCUGCCUCUGGUCUCCGGGCUCUUCCUGCGCUUUAGAACUCACAGCCUCGUGGGAAUGUCAAAGGGCCCAGGAUUCACCUGAGAGGGCUCCCGGGACCAAGGCUGGAACAGUCUGAGCAAGAAGAUGGGUGGUGCGUGAUCUGAUGCUGAGCACCCACAAGUGCAUACCGACGUAAGUGCAUCGUUGAAUGAACAAACAAGUGGGGGAGAAUAAACUAAUCUCCACGCAGAAGAAACUUAAAGAAUCUGCGUGAAUAUUCCACGCUGAGGGGAGCGGACCACAGCACCCUCCUCCCUGCGGCGGGGCUGCACGGUGACGGCCUCCCAAAGAGCAAGAAAGAGAGAAGCAACCAACGCCGCUGAGGGCGGCCGACCGAGGUCCACAGCAGCAGGGGGACACCCCGAUGCACUGCCGCCUUCAGGAGCUGCGGUUAGGACUGUGCCUGGCCUCUGCGGACUCAGCGCAUUUAUGUUUAAGCCAUUUGUGACCAAUUUUGGUUUCAACAUACCUUCUUAAAACGUUUCCUCAUUCCUCCUGUUCUGUGUUCACUUUUCUUCCUUAUUUUUAACGGAUGAUUUUAUUUUUUUUUACUGUUCUAUGUUCUACUGUGCUGCUGUUAAG